AAACAGCACACCUCUGUGGUAUCAUCUCUCAUCCUCCUCUCCAGGAAAUCUUAUACUAAGUACUUUAAUUUCAUAAGCUUCUCUGGUGUGUGGAAGGCCAUACAUAGUGAGCUCCCUUCAGUCCAAUACAGAGGGUCGAGAGGCGGACCGAGCUGCCAUCUCAUGCACCAGGCUAUGCUCAAUCGUUUCGACGCUAGUUGGAGGGAUCGAUUGGGUCGGGUAAUCAGUCAAUCAAAGGUUGAGCCUAGCUAGGUGCAUGGUGUGGGAGCAACUCCUUCCGUUGUGCUCUGCUCAUUGAUUGGACUGAAGGGAGCUCCCAUAGCAUCUCUCCAUGUGGUUUCAGCAUUAAUCAUCUUGUUCUUGGCUUGCAUAUGCAUUGAUAUUGCUCUUCCUAUAUGUUGCUUGUUCCACUAAUCUCUCCUUUUUCCUCGGAUUUAUUAGUCAAGAAACAAGUCCAAAGAGAAGAGGAAGCAUUUCGAUGCAGGGGAACGAGACACGACGCGGUCGAAUCCAGCCAAACCAUGCACACAGUGAUGUAGACGACGCUUGAUCUUUAUCAUCCAAGCCUGCCUAAUACCUAUCGCGGGGCAGACGCAGCAGCGAGCGCGCGAGUCUCGCCUUCAGUGACCCAUGAAAGUGAAAACGAUGGCCUGCUUUGGAGCACAAACUCAACCAGUGUAGAGAUGGUGAAGAGGCGCAUAACACAAGCAAGCUCAUUGCACACUGACAUUUCAUGACUGAAAGUGAUGAACUGAAGAAGCAGGACUAAUAAGAAAGAUCUCCCAGUGGGUUUCUGAGAUCACAAAGCCUUGUAACAAUGGUUCAAUGCACUUGAUUGGAUGUAAAUCGACUCCCGAGUCACCUCAUCAGCAAGUUCAGUAAAGCUAGGGUUUCUUGUUUUGGAUCA